GAAAAUUUGAAGUGUGUCAACAGGUAGUGGAGAUGGAGUGGGAGGAUCUACCAGAAGUACAGAAAGAACAGUGUUUGAUGUAAAAGUAGAAAGCAGAGGGCACAGGCUCAUCAAAGAAUAAGAUGGAAAGGAAGAAGAUGUGGGGAAUUGCCAGUGGUCCUGAACACUGAAUUAAGUGUGAUAUGAACUGAAAGAAGCCCCCUGGUUUGGCUGGGAAAGAACAUCGGUAAAGGGGGUUUCAGCAGAUACUGAAACUAGAUAAUACAGGAAGUUUGAUAAAUACUAAGCAGAAAUGAAUACUUGGGAGUCUAAUUGUGUGUGAGAAAAGCAAUUGCAAGAUCCAGAAGUCUCUAAAGAUGUAGAGCCAUAUAUUAAACUGGUGCUACAGUUAACCUUGUUUCCUGAAGCAGAGACGAGAGAUUAAUUUCUGUGGAAGCUAUCCAGACACUAAAAGUACAAUUGAACCAGACAAAAUAUCAUAAAAUCUGCCUCAGUUAUGGGGCAAUCUAGCCAUUAGCGUUGGGGUGAAAACAUUUUGGAGAAUGAUUAAGGUUGAAUAAUAGAUUUGUUGCCAUAUGAAUUGCAGAAUAAACUCUAUGGGGACCCCCAUUUUCAGGCUUUCUUUUUCUGAGAAGACUACAGGACUAUUGGGGCCAUACCAGCCUUGAGGCUGAAGCAUCCAUGCAUGCUGCUUUUGUUCGGUAACCAGAAGAUUGACUUACCUGGCUUGGUCUGGAUGGAGAAAUUGUGCCUAGAUGAUUAGUUUAGGAAAUCAGCACAGAUCUUUUAUGGUUUUCCAGUUAUUAAAUAAUCAUGGCAAAGGAGGCCAUCUCCCAGUUUCCAAGCUACUUGUGGUUUACAAAACAAUUGAUGUUGCUCAGAAGGGCUGCUGAUGAGAUAGACUCUAUUUACACAUUGGCACCGACCAUUUAUGCCUUGGUUCCAUGGCGAGGUGUGACGAUGUAAUGUGCAGUACUGGUACUUGGGUGCUGUACCUGUACUGCCAUGAAGGCUACAGGCCCCUGACAAAUUCUGUAAGUUUGCCUCAGACAUGAAAAUGGGGAUCACCCCAGUGCCAGCAUAGUGUGCAGCUGCUGUUUGUCACAUCCUCACAUGAUCAGCAGUGGAACAUUGGCAGUGCUAACAGCACUUCAAUAGCAGAAUAAGUUGUUGACCCACAGUAAGCCACUGACUAAGCCUGUCAUGUCUUAAUCUGAAAUAUAAAAAUUACUUUACGUAUCCAGCAUUGAAAAUGCCAGAGCACUCUCCCUAUAACCAACGAGAAAUAUAUCCUUGCUGAUCACACCUAACUCCCAUGCAGCAGGAAAAGAUAAAGAAAUUGUAAAAAGAGUGUUCUAAAUGUAUUGUUCUCCUUUGUUUGGGUAGAAGAGUACCAAAUAAUAAAUGGCAUGAGAAUAAAACGUAUUUUUAAAAAGUCCACCUUACUGCUUAAGUAUGCCUUAGCAUAAUUAAGUUCAUUUAACAGGGCAAUGAGUUACCUCCUCUACCUAACCUCUUGCAGAUUGAUCUUGGUAAAGGUGUUAAACAAAAAAUACAUUUUUAAGAAGCAAUAAUUCUUCAAAUCGCUCAAAACAAAAGACUGAUUUUUAUCUGCUUCGAAAAUAAAUUUUUUUUGCAGCACAAAAUCAGCAACACAGUAGUCAGCUUUCUAUUUUAAAACAGCAUGGUAGGAGGAGGCUUUCAGGUUGCUUCUUUUCUUUUUUUUUCAAAGAUUACAUAUUCUUUAUGGUUUAAGUAAAGACUGCCUAGCCUCCUUAGGAAGCUGGGUUGACAAAAACUUCAGAGAAUCUAUACAUAUCUAUACAUUAAUACAUCUGAUGAUUAAUAGCGUAUGAAUUUCUCACAACUCAGAUCAACUCAUAUCUAAUAAGAGGCAAGAACUUCUGUAAAACUUCUAGUGAUAAGGAGACCCAGAAUCUCUUUCCAGAAGAAAAAUGAGUUUCUCUCAUUUGCACUAGUCUGUCCUAGGGGGAAAUAUAGAAAGAUAUAAUGUCCCUACUCUUGUUUCCCAUCUAGAUGUUGACAGAACUUUUAACUCACUUUUGAAGUGCUCACUCUGAGAAGCAUAAAGGAAUUAUAAGAGGAUGAUAAAACCAGGCAGAUGAGAUUUGGCACAAAAUGCUUUAAAACCAAAGGCAGGUAUGACUGAUGAAAAGACAUGGCAUCCUGAGAUCCAUCAGAAAUUUAGAGAGAAGAAAAUGCAUUGCAUACAACUCACGAACCUGUAGUUUUUCCCAUGAUUCAGAAUCCAGUCAUCUUAGCAGAAAAAUAUUGUGAGCACCACAAACCCAGGACAAAUCCAGGUUGGAUUUUAAUCCCUGGAAUUCCUUAAUAAUGGAUGGCUGUUUAGUAGAAAACCAGCUGUGGUCCAAUUGCAAGUCCUUGUGAGUUUAUUCCUGCAUGGAAAAGCCAACAAAGCAUUUUACCAUGUGGUUGUGGCUCUCUGGGAGCUAAGAACCACAUGACUACAAGGCUGCAAGAUCUUCAUACUCAAAAUAUUACUAAGGCACUGUACUGAUGGUGCAGGGUAACUUGCAGUUUUGAAACAUUCAUUGUAUUUGUUCUACGAAUCAUCAUCAGAUUUUGCUCUUCCUUAUGCUAGCAACCUUUAACUAGCAGCUAAGUGAAAAAAUUCUGUAUGUGGUCAUUUUACAAAUGGGAAGAAAUAAACCCAAGGAGAACAAAUGGAACUCAGGAUUUAUAUUUCAUUUAUUUUAAAACUAGAAUUCUACUUAAGUCUAAUUAUACACUUUAAAAAAAAUUAGGAUAUACUUAUUUUUAACAUCCUAAUCUUUGUGAAAGCUACAAAUUUGUACUUCAUGCAUAUAGUUUCUUUUCUAUUACUGACCCUUUCUUCAAACUGACAUGACCUGGCUGGGGUUAGGAUCUGUCCCAGGGAGAUUUCAGCCUGCAAGGUGGCCUUGGAGCUCCCCUCCCCACCCUCCACCUGAAUACUGGAGAUGUGACCCCAGUGCAAUUCUCCACAGAGAAGAGGAGAGAGGACAAAGAGAGGGUAGCCUGAGAGACACAGAUAGACAGACACUACAACACCCCUAGCAUGCCUUGAGGACAGGAGGAAGGACCAAGCAGAGCAGUGCAGAGCUGGGCAAAGGACCAGGACUGUGAAUACCAUGUGGGUACUGGCAUCUAAUGAUCCUGAUGCUGUUGCUUAGUGGAUAAACUUAGUAUCACUUGUCCCGCUGUGCCUUGUUUGUGAUGUUGUCCAUCACAACCGAACCACUUGUGCCAGUUGUGUUAUGCUGACAGAGGCCUCCAGCGGAAGGACAGCAAAUGCCAGACAAAGGCUUUCUGCAAGGCUAGUUCAAGUGGCUUUCCACAAAAUUCUCCCUCAGGGUUUUACAGCUCAGCAGCCCCAGCUGGCUAGUGGUGUGGGGGUUUCCCUCCAUCCUUAGCUGGUAACAGAUACAACAUGCAGAAAUACUACGUGCUCACUAAGCUUGGGAUCCAGAGCUAAUGGAGCUGGUUCAUCACAGGGAAUGGCUGCACUUGAUUAUCAGCAUCACAGAGCUUGGGACCAAGGUAAUUUAUUCCCAAGAAGAGCCAGGAAAGAGACAGAAGAGUGCAACGGGCAAAGCAUGGGUGUGUGCACAGGACAUUAUGACGGGAUGGGUGAGGUUUGCCAAGGUUUCAGCAGGGGGAGAGUUGGUGUGUGAAGACAUUGGGUGGUUGAAAAAAAUCUCACUGUAAUGCUGUACAGCCCCCCACUGACCAAAGAAGUUUUAAAACCAACUUUGUCCUACUAUGCAGGGAUUUAAGCAUAGGCUCUGACACUAAUCCCUAACAUUAUCAUAAUCUUCAAUAUUUAAUACCUUCCAUUUUAUUUCAACUCUACAGGAAUUCUCUGAACUUCUUUCAUCAGGAAUGGCUGAAACAGUCCAGAGACCCCUGGCACCAGUCUGGCAUGUAUAAUGUAUAUUGGAACUGCUUCUUUACUUCACUCUAUCAGUAUUAUUCCAGUGUAAAACUGAUAUAAUAGAAAACCAAAUCUCCAGCCUUUGUUUUUGAAUUGCCAAACCUUAGCUCGAGUACAGAAAAAAAUAAAUCAGUGUAUCUGUUACAUAUUUCUUGUCUUUCUUAUUUCCAGAGGCCAAAUCAUUUGGAUAGUUGCCCUAUGGAGCAGAAAAGACCAUGUGUUUUGAGCUUUUGUGAUAUUUGUUGUUUCUUGGAUCAGAAGAUUACACAGUAAUCUCAACAAUAAAAUAAACUCUGAACAAUAAUAAUAUUCAAAUGUUAUAGCUGUGUGAAGAAAAACAUCCUCAGUGAAGACUUUGAAAAGAAAUAGGAGGUGAUGGAGAGGUUAAUUUGGAUGUAAUUCUUAAGGUUAUUUGACUUGUGACUGGGAGCAGCAGUACAGAAGAAAAAGCACUGAACCUCUCUGACAGGAUUUUAACUCAAUCACUAGCAAAGGUCCUGUCAACAAGCCUUUAGCAGAGGUCCACAAUUCCCAGGAAGCAUGGCCAGUAGAGCAGGUGGUGUGGGUGUUGCACAUGUGCAGUCUUCAGCAGCACAGCCCAGAAGGGUUUGAAAUUGUUGCUCUGUCCUCUGCUCUCCCAGCACCACUUCUCUUUGCCCAAAAAAAGACCCAUAAAGCUGACUUCAUGCCUUCCCUCCAGCCCCAAACUUCACAGUUUUCUCCUGUUUUCUAAAAGGAUAUGUAAGUAUAACCUUAAAUAUGAACUUGUUUCCCAGAUCUCAGUUCUAUGAAAAACAGGUAGAUGCUUGGCGAAAACAUUAUUUCUCUUCAUUCUUAUUCAUGCUGCAAAAUAAGAGCACACACAAGUAUAACAGCCAUGCUCUCCCCCUCCGAACAAACAUACACUGAUACUUGGGUGGUUGUGUUUAAACUGGUAAGUGAGCUGGAAGUACAAACUGCUGGCAUAAAGAAGGUUUCAGAGCCAGGUAUACAUUUCUCGCUGCUGUUAUAUUUUUCCUGGCAGACAUGAAAUUUACUGUUUGAAAAGACACUUCCUGUUUGAAAUUGUUACUGGGUUUGAGAAAAAUAAUACAUUUCAAGAUUUCUUUGCACAUAGUAAGGAAACACAAACAACAAUUGUAAGGUUACAAACAACACUGAAAGGAUUCUCUGCCAGUCACCUUUAAAACCAUGCAUUUUUCUAUAAAAGGACUCUGCUGCGUUUUUUUUCCCAUCGAAUCCCUUAUGUCUCAGGUCUUCCAAGUGCUCUGUUUCUGCUAUGUGGGAAGAGAUAUCUUAGCAGUGUAAUAUCAUGUCUGGAACAAAAUUAUUCUGUGAUAUGAUAUAUUACUGCAGUACAGUUUUAGGAAUCAUCUGAGCUGGAGUCAGAUAUUAGUUUAUAUUCAACAAUCAUCUAAAAAGUUGUGUUGUUAUAGACUUCUAGGAAAACAAAAGGAAAAAAAAACCAAGAUACAAAAAAAUACCACCAGAAAUAAAAUGUAGAGAUAUAUACUUUUUCAUAAAGAUAUACUAAAAAAAUAUGUUAAAGGGCCCAAAAUAUGGAAGUUCUCUUCUGUACUUACAUGUCUUUUCUGGUAGAUGUUCAAAUCAAGAUCUAGAUGAAGAAAAUAAAGCUGCUAUAAGAAAAGUCCUUUUCUACAUUGAACUAUCUUCCUCAGCUAUAACAUUUUCAUGGCCUGUCAUGCAGAUCUCUUUCUAAAAUGUACGUCUGUACCCAGUGCUAUCAGUGGUAACGUCUCCUUAAACUUUCCAGAGGGACUUUUAUGUGGUCAUCCACGGUGCAUUUAUCUUCACAUUUUUUCAUCUAAAAGUUGGCCAUGUAGUUCAAACCUGUUGUCCAGGAAAAAUCUGCAGCCAGUGCAGGGAGACAAGUGUCUUCAUGCAGCAAAGAUACAUACCUCAAGAAGUGUGUUCAGCACUAAUAAGAGGAACUGCUUUCUGGAUGUACCUGUGUCAGCCCACCAACUGUGAAGACAGCUAGUUUAGAGAAGCUCAGCCUCUACAUGACUGAAUAUAGGUGAGAUAAAGCUCCCCACAAAUGUGCUGUUGCACUGUACUGGGGCUGCUGUAAAGCUCGGAUUUACUCCAUCUUUGUUUAGGUACACUUCUAAGGCAUCUGUGGGAGGAGUCAUUUGCCUUAGGGACCUGCUGUAAAGGCUGGAGAAUGACAGGCACAUCCUGAGAGUAAGCCAUACCCUAGGGCUGCACAGAAGAAUGUGAGAAGAACACUCAAAUUCUAUUCAGGGCACGAAAGAUCUGCUGAGAGACUGUAGCAGGAACCAAGUGUGACCCUGUUCCAUUUCAGGCAACCUGGACAAGCGGUUAACAUAAUGCAGGAUGAAUCCCAGCUUAAACCCCAUUAAACUGGAUUUGCAUGUGCACUGUACAGCACUAACUGUAAUGUCAUACUUUACUGUAAGAUAAAUACCUAAGGCAAAUCCACAGUUGCCUAAAAUAGUAGCUCUUAGAGUUUUUUAUAGCAGAGCAAGCCAGAUGUUGACUUUAUGGAGGUGAUAAACUGUUUUAAAAACCAUAGUACAAUAGGAUUUCAGCUGUUUGAACAGAUUCUGCUAAGUCAUUUGUAUAUGUCCAAGGAGAAAAUCUGCUCUUAAUGACUAUACUUCUGCUUAUUUUUAAGUGGCAGCUUAAAAACAUCAGCCAGCAUGAAGUAUUGGAGCCAAAUGAUCUCCUGGUAUGUUUAUUCAUUUCAGUGCAGAGCCAUUUUAGCUUUGGUUUUUGACAUUCAGAUGUCUGUGCACCAUAUUCCCCAGUACUUCUGCUUGCAGUAGUGUGGUACAUGAAUAUGCACAGAUCCUGUGUCAGACCAAAGCUGCUGAAGUGUUUCUGGCACUUCAGAAUCCACAAGUAUCCAAACUAGCACAUCACCAGUCUGGCUAACCCUGUGACUUCAAGUUGCUACGGUUUAGCUAGCACUCUUGUCAACCACACAAACUCUGCUCACCUGUAACACUACUCCCAGGGGUAAGCAGACUCAGAUGAAUGCAGAAAUACCCUUUUUUUCACCAAUCUUCCCUAGUCCAAGUCCUACUCUUGAAGUGCAGCUCCUUGGUUAUUUCUGCUAUUACCUGUUUAACUGCUGUUACCUCAGUCCUGUUGGAUCAUGGCACAGUAAAGUCAACACUGGUGCUAAACUAGGCUGGACUCCAGCAUGCAAAGACCCAAGGCCAGAUUAGUCCAACCAUUCAGCUUAAUUCUACAAUCCUCAUUAGUUAAAACCAGAUACUCAUCUUCUUCUUCUCCUUCUCCCUUGAUUGCAUUAAAGAACUAGCAAAAGAAAAUCUUAUGACUCUCCUCGAGAAACAGGAUGGUGCCAGACAACCGCUGCCUCCCAAGGUCUACAAGCCCUCACUUGGACUCACUUCCCCCCCAUGCCAGCAAGAUUGGCUGCAGGGCUGCAGGGCACUGCUGCCUCGAGCUUCGCUGGAAAGAAAAGAGAGUGAACCUUCCCUUUCCUUCUUAUUUUAUACUCUUGCUUACGUAAAAAAUCGUAUGGAACACUGGGAAUAUAGGGUACUUCCCCAGUUACAAGCAGGUCUCCAGGAAGGCCUAGACUGAAACUAUCAUAUAGUGACAUCAAUUUUAUCCCAAAAGGAAUAUUUUUACACUAAAGGCAAAUGGUACUUGUUUGUUCCUAUAUAAGAAAAACUUCAUUUUAAAAAAACAUAAUAUGUUGACUCCAUGAACUUCUCUGCUGUGCAGAAAGAUUGUAUAAGGUUUAUGCAAACCUUAUUCUGAGUAUACAUAAAGACCUCAGAAUAGGAUGUGAGGAGGUGUGUAUACAUAUAUGGCUUUCAUUCUCAAAACACUAUACUGAUAAAGGCAAGGAAAAAACUGGGAUUGUUGUGCCCCAGUUAGCUUGUUAAAUGUUCACACUAAUAGAUAUAGUUACUAACUGAAAAAACAGCUCUUGAUAUUGAUGCUGUUAUAUAUUGGUUAGAGAUAAGCAGGAAGUUAGACUGAAACUAGGACACAGGUAGGUAAGUAGGUAGGUGAUUAUAUACCAGCAUUUUUUUCCAAAUCUCAACCAAAGUCAGUUUGUCUCUUUCUUGGAAUAGAGGGAUCCACAAGAUGGGAAAAAUAGUUAUUUAUUACAUGUUAAGCAAUUCAGAUGGGUUUAGAAGCUUUAGUUUUCCAGUGGCUUGAAGCAGGGAUUUGGAGUCUGGCAUAAUACAAGCAUGAUUCUACUGAUCUGUGUUUGGCUUUAUCUGUAAAAUGCUGCCCACAGCAGAGCAAGCUGGUAGCAUGAAUUUGAAAGGAAAUGAAGCUUAUUUAAUUAAGUUCUCUGUCAAUCCUUCCCUAAUAACUAUUGAACCAGAUGGUCAGUUAAAAAAAAAAAAAGGUAAGGGAACUGAAGUCUUGCAGCCUGAAGUUCCUGAAAGCUUUCAGAAAAGCAGAAAAUGCAAAAAGAAGGAAGAAUUAAAUAUUGCAAACCUGGUGGAGAAGACAAGUGAGCUCAAGUUGCCUGUUGUGUUUGGCCUGCCAGCAGUAUUUAGAUUUGAAAUUACUGCUUCAAGCUUUUUUUGAUAUAACUAUCACAAGGGAGCAUGAAAGCUCUUCCAGCAAAUGAAAACUGAUGCUAAGACACCUACACUACCAUUCAAGGAAUUAGUAUCCCAGUACAUCCAAGGAACUAGCAUCCUGGCAGCCCAGAAUCAGCCACACAGUACACACUUUCUCUUGCCCUGCCUAUGGGACAAAACUGAGGACAAAGCAGGGGAAGAAAAAAGGCUUAAAGGAAAUGAGGAAGGAAUAUUUUGAGAAAAUAUUAGCUAGGGGCUAAGAGCUAGUGGUCUCCCAGGCAAAGGUGGAGGGAACAUGUAGUAACAGAGGCACAGAUUGAUAGGAAAUGAGAUUUAAGUAUUUCUGCAGCUAUUGUGGCUUCCUGCUUAUUAAAAAUUAUCAUCAUGGUGCCAUACAUAAGCAUUUUCUCUGAACUGAGCUUUUGCAAAUAUACGUCUAUUCAUGUAUGUGUUUAGAUCUGAUUAACCUCACUUUAUCUCAACAUCAGGUACAUAAAGAUAUUUCUGGUGGCAACAGGAAGGGCACUCUAGGGAAAGGGAAGAACAGUAAAAAAUGAAAAUUCUCUUUUUCACUUCUAACUGUAAGAUGAAAUUUGGGGUUGCAGUAUUUGGAUUUGAAAUUGAUACUUGCAGCUUUUUUGAUAUAACCAUUACAGUGAGCAUGAAAGGUCUUCCAUCAAAUUAAAAUUGAUUCUAAAAUACCUACAGUAUCACCAGAGUUGGGAAUUCCUUUAUCUUUUGCAUCACCUCAAAAGAAAGCAAGCUUGAAAAAUGUUCUGCGUGAUGAGAUGAGAUUUCAGACACACAAGGAAGGGAGACCAGUAUGGCAAUGGCAAUUUAUUUUACCGCAGCCUUUAUUACAUUGCAUCAUAUCUUACUUUCUCCUAUUGCAUUCAUGUUGCUGCUAUUUCCAUUAGACAAUAUAUAUCCUAUAUUAAAAUUUGUUUUCUGUAUUAAAAUUUGUUAUCACAGUAUCACAGAAUAAAACACUGAACAUUAAUAGAUGUCAACAGAAAAUGCUGGAAGCCCUGUAGUGAAGAAUUGUGAGGCAGACAAUCUGGAGAGGAACCUGCAUAUAGGAGAAAAUAUUCCCUUGUUUUCAUAACACAGUAGUGGUGGCUUUAUGCAAUGAUAUACAGGGUUUAUAUUGCUGCAGAAAAAAAAUCUGUCUAAAUGGGGGAUAUUACCUACAUAAAUAUCAUGUUUUUCAUAUAGCUUACUUAGCCCUUGACCUGAGUCUGACCAUGAGUGCCAUGGGUCAGUCCUCCAUUAGAUGCUUCAUGUUUUCUUUUAUUAAUUUUAUAAAUAUUGCCUUCUAAUUGUAUGGGAGGUUGCACUGCAAGCUUUUGCUAAUGGCUACACUUGGCAGCCUAUUACAGACUAGGGGCAGACUACAUUCUCAUCUCCUUCUCAAUCUUGCCAAUUUAUUGAGUUUAUUUAAGGCUAGAAGGCCAAGUUUACAAACUUAGACAAGGACAACUUAAGCAAGAUAAAUUCCAUCAGAAACUUAAAAUCCCAAAGAUGUAAAUAAGACUUUAUCCAAUUAUAUUUCCAGAUAGUGGCUGAAGGCAUGUAAAAACCUUUCUGCUUCCUGGCACCCUGAGUCUCCAGUAGGCUAAUGGUAUUUAUUUUCCUCUUUUAUCACUUGACCCACAGUACACCUUGCCUAAGCACCACUCAGAUCCAGCCUCUCUGUCUUUUGAUCCCAAUUUGAUUGCUUUGCUCCUUUGCUGACUGGAUUUUCACAUCUUACGGAGAGCUGUCAUUGAGAAAAUCUUUCAGAACUAGGCCCAUCAUAGUAUAAUUUAGGAAAAAAUAUAAGCAUCCCCAUCACAGUAUGAAUAUAGAAAAAAAUUACAACUCAGAAAAAUUACUGAUUUUUUUUUAGCGAAACGAUAACAAAAUAGCUUAAACACAUUUUAGCUAUCUGUAUUUGAAAUAGAAAUGUUCUUCCUGAAUAGAGAUUAUCUGUAAAGAUUUAGGAAACAAAAUCACAGGUUUCAGGAAUGUCAAAUAGGAAACAAUCUGCCAGUCACGUUAUAGUAUUUUCAUCACUAACUAACCAAGCUUUAUAUUAAAAACAGUACAGCAGUUCUUUUGACUCUUAAAUUUCUGAUCCUUGCAUCAUAUUUUUCUCAUGAUUAGAAAUUUUAAAAUCUAGACUCAGUUUUCCUGUGCAAAAGUCAUACAUUUUUGUCCUUGAGUCAUUACUGCCAGUUGGCUGAAGCGAACUUUCACUUUCUCUGGCAUUUACCUCUCUUGCAAAAAGGAAACCUGAUUGUAUCCCUCACUACUUUCUUUUCAUUAAUUUAAAUACACUGAUCCUUUUUAUUCUUUUGACAGAAACAGGUUCCCUGUUCUCCUGAUUCUCUUGCUACUGCCACCUCCCAGUGCUGCAAGUCAAGUCUGUGUUUCUAGGAAUCAAGAACUGUAGAGGUGGCAUGAGGGCACAAGUACAGGAUCAUCCAAACUACCAAACCGUCAGUUCCUGGCACAACUUUAGCCCACACUGUCCAGUAUUCCUCUGGACAACAUAUGGUUUGAAGGACAGAGCAAAUCAAGGGCAUUCCCAGGAGAUGCUUUGAGGUGGAUCUUGGACUUUUCUUUUAGAGACAAUCCUUGGCUGCAUUGUAUUACUAUGACUAUGUCACAGAAUUAUAGGAAAGGAAAGCUGUAGGAGUUGCUGCAGAUCAUCAAAUCCAACCAGAUCACCAGAUUCAGCCAUGCUGCUCAAGACAGGGUGUGGAAGCAGCACCAGAAGUAUCAAAGGUGAGAGAAGAGCAAUAGGAAUGACCUAAGAAUAGGAAUGGAGCACCUCUUUCUGGAGGCCAUCUCCAUCCACAUGGAUGACAAGAAGGUGAUCAGAAGUAGUCAGCAUCAAUUCACUAGAGGUGAAUCAAUCAGGCUUGACCAACCUGAUUGUUUUCUACAAUGAAACAACUACCUGGAUGGAUGAGAGGAGAACAGUGGAUAUUGUCUACCUCGACUUAAGCAAGACUUUCAACACUGUUUCUCACAACAUCCUCAUAGACAAGCUGAGGAAGUGUGGACUGGAUGAGUGGUCAGUGAGGUGACUUGAGAACUGGAUGAAUGGCAGAUCCCAGAGGGUUGUGGCACAGGGUCUAGUCAGAGGCCUGCCACUAGUGGUGUUCCCCAAGUUCAAUACUGAGCCCAGUAUUAACAUAUUCAUCAGUGACUUUGAUGAAAGAGCCUCUGUGAUGGACCAAACUGAUUGGAUGGGCUGGUUGAGCCCUGCAAUCUAUUGUUUCUCUGAUAAGACUGGUGACUUAAACAAAGUGGUUUUGUGCCAGAUAAAGGAAAAGACUGAUAAGAAGCAGAUCCUUCAGAGGUGGAGUAAUGCUUUUUAUCAUGCCAAUCUCCUCCCUCCUGAUAAUGCAUCUGUAUCUGACAGUGUAAACCUCCCCCACACUGGAAGUAUAGGAGCAUUCUCACUUAAGUCUGAACAUAUAUAACCAGGUGAACCCUUUAUUGUGUGGGCACCUACCUCCAAGAGAUCAAGACUGAGACCAUCACUCUGACCAUGGACACUGAAAUUGCAUCAAUCAAGUCUCAUCACUGGAUUGACAGGUGGUGAUAUUUUUCCUCUCCACUAUCUACACUUGUCCCUUCUGUCUCUUUCUCUUUUCCUUAUAUAUUCUCUUCAUGAUAUAGUUUAUGUUUUUAUAGAAAAGAACUAAAAUGGCUACACACCUCCUAUCUGUUGCAACUAAAUUUUUUUAAAAUAAACCUGCUGAAUAUA